rnacentral:rRNA from 1 species
AUUGAACGCUGGCGGCAUGCCUUACACAUGCAAGUCGAACGGCAGCAUGAUCUAGCUUGCUAGAUUGAUGGCGAGUGGCGAACGGGUGAGUAAUACAUCGGAACGUGCCCUGUAGUGGGGGAUAACUAGUCGAAAGAUUAGCUAAUACCGCAUACGACCUGAGGGUGAAAGUGGGGGACCGCAAGGCCUCAUGCUAUAGGGGCGGCCGAUGUCUGAUUAGCUAGUUGGGGAGGUAAAGGCUCACCAAGGCGACGAUCAGUAGCUGGUCUGAGAGGACGAUCGGCCACACUGGGACUGAGACACGGCCCAGACUCCUACGGGAGGCAGCAGUGGGGAAUUUUGGACAAUGGGGGCAACCCUGAUCCAGCAAUGCCGCGUGUGUGAAGAAGGCCUUCGGGUUGUAAAGCACUUUUGUCCGGAAAGAAAUCGCACUUACUAAUAUUAGGUGUGGAUGACGGUACCGGAAGAAUAAGGACCGGCUAACUACGUGCCAGCCGCCGCCGUAAGAC